GCCUCUGAGGAUGAUCAAAAAUUACUUUCGUUCUACUGAUUUGCUCAUGUGGAAAUUUUAUGGAGACCUGAACUGAAGAGGG